rnacentral:tRNA from 1 species
UUAUGCGUAGGUUAUUUAAACUUAUAAAUUGUGGUUUUAUAGAUUGCUUGUGUGCGUGUAAA